rnacentral:tRNA from 1 species
AGACAUAGUGGUUAUGGUGUUGGCUUGAAACCAAUUGUAG